UACAGAGGCCUCGAGCGUUAGGCGGAAUCACUGGGCUUAAAGCGUGUGUAGGCGGACUUCUAAGUACCUUGUGAAUACCCUCACGGCUCACCCGUGGAACUGCUCGGUAUACUGGUCGUCUUGAGCCUUCUAGGGGCGAGUGGAACAAAUGGUGGAGCGGUGAAAUGCGUAGAUAUCAUUUGGAACGCCAAUGGUGAAAACAACUCGCUGGGGAAGUGCUGACGCUGAGACACGAAAGCCAGGGGAGCGAACGGG
rnacentral:rRNA from 1 species